rnacentral:rRNA from 1 species
AACGAACGCUGGCGGCAUGCCUAACACAUGCAAGUCGAACGAGAUCUUCGGGUCUAGUGGCGCACGGGUGCGUAACGCGUGGGAAUCUGCCCUUUGGUUCGGAAUCACAGUUGGAAACGACUGCUAAUACCGGAUGAUGACGAAAGUCCAAAGAUUUAUCGGCAGAGGAUGAGCCCGCGUAGGGUUGACUAGUUGGUGUGGUAAAGGCGCACCAAGGCGACGAUCCUUAGCUGGUCUGAGAUGGUGAUCAGCCACACGGGGACUGAGACCCGGGCCAGACUCCUACGGGAGGCAGCAGUUGGGAAUAUUGGACAAUGGGCGAAAGCCUGAUCCAGCAAUGCCGCGUGAGUGAUGAAGGCCUUAGGGUUGUAAAGCUCUUUUACCCGGGAUGAUAAUGACAGUCCCGGGAGAAUAAGCUCCGGCUAACUCCGUGCCAGCCGCCGCCGUAA